rnacentral:lncRNA from 1 species
GGUAUUAUCUUUAUAUAUGAAAGAAAAAUUCUGUAUUUAAGACCACACAGUGUUGGUAUGAGUUAGUGUUAACCUUAAUUUAUUUCUGAACCAGGAGUUUUUGCCCUUCCUGCAUCCUGCUUUGAGAUGGAAAAAAUGAGGCAUUGAAAAAUUAAAGCCUAAUGAGCUUUUAAUCAGUGGCAAGCCCAUUUAUGGUAGCAAUAAUAGAACAUUCACUUCCUUCCCAGCUAUCCUUUACUUACAUCUGUAUUUCUGAAAGAUGGUGUUGAAAUUUCAGGAUAUGGAUGCAGAGUUGGAGGCAGGAGCAACGCUUCAGAGAAAAUGAAACGCAGAGGAUGGAGAAAAAGCAAAGAAACCUCUGAAAUCGAGGCAGUUCACUCUGAGACAGGCAAUGCACAGGAAUAAAGAAAACCCAUUCUGUAGUUUCAGAAUAUUACACUUGGAUAGAAGGGAAGGCUAUGGAAAACAGUUUAAAUGAUCUAUGGCAAUGUAAUGCUAAAGAUCUGGACAGGUUCUGGAGGGACUUGGGACACAAAGGGAAAAGAAUCUGCAAAAUAUUAAGCUGCUUAUUAGAAAUCUAAAGGAAGACAAGUACAGGCAGGCUGGGGGAAAUUUUGCUCAAUGUUCAUUUUUGUGGCUGAUAAGCUGCUCAGAGAAUUUUUAGAAGCUUUUGUCCUUUUCUUUUCUCCCCCCCUUUUUUUGGCUUUUAUUUUCUUUUCUUCUGUAAUUUUUUUUUUUACUACAGUGGUGUUUGGGUAAUGAUUCCUGUGGAGCACAAGAUGCUUCUCUUUGUGGAAACCUGGGCUUUUCUUUACAUAAACAAUGCCAAGGAGUUUAGGUCUCUGAAGGUGUAUCCAGCACUGAUGGAUGAUGCUGUGGAUUUCUUGAGCUCUCAGGUCCACAGAGAGACAGAUCAGCAAAAGGAGCCUGCAGGGGAAGCUGAGGAGUAGGGGAAAGCAGGAAAAAGAAAAAAAGGAAAUUAUGCUAAAAAUAUAAAAUACAACCAGCCCUAGGCUGAUGCCAGCCUGGUACAGCAGGUCUGCACCUUGAGAGAAAUCAAGAUU